rnacentral:rRNA from 1 species
AGAGUUUGAUCAUGGCUCAGAAUCAACGCUGGCGGCGUGCCUCAGACAUGCAAGUCGAACGCGAAAGUCCCCUUCGGGGGACAAGUAGAGUGGCGCACGGGUGAGUAACACGUAGGUAAUCUACCUUUGGAUGGGGAAUAACAAUCGGAAACGAUUGCUAAUACCGCAUAAUGCAGCGGCACCUAAUGGUGACAGUUGUUAAAGCGGGGGAUCGAAAGACCUCGCGUCUGAAGAGGAGCCUGCGGCGGAUUAGCUAGUUGGUAAGGUAAUGGCUUACCAAGGCUACGAUCCGUAACCGGCCUGAGAGGGCGGUCGGUCACACUGACACUGACAUACGGGUCAGACUCCUACGGGAGGCAGCAGUCGGGAAUUUUGGGCAAUGGGCGAAAGCCUGACCCAGCAACGCCGCGUGAAGGAUGAAAUCCCUCGGGAUGUAAACUUCGCAAGAACGGGAAGAAUAAGUAGGGGACAAUACCCCCUAUGAUGACGGUACCGUUUGUAAGCUCCGGCUAACUCCGUGCCAGCCGCGGCGGUAAUAC